rnacentral:rRNA from 1 species
AAUUAAUUCUUCUCACAAGGUCGCAGAAAGCACGAUGAGGGGAUCCCAAGUGCUGUUCGUAAGAAACAGCUGUUUCUUUGUCUAAAAACAUAAAUUGUAGGAGCUGGGUAAAACGGGUGAGGCCGCCGCGGUAUUACCUGCAGCUCGGUGGUGGUCGUAUUGGCCCAAAAGUCGACCGUUUGAAAUUGCCUGGGAAUCGUAUGUUUACUUAGCGAUCCGGGGGGGAUCCUAAACUUGGGCCGGAAGUUUUUUUUUUUAGGGUGAGGGGAAAUUUUGUAAUCCUAGGGGGACCCCCCGGGGAAGGGGGCUAGCUGGACGGGCCCUACGGGGAGGAACAAACCCUGGGGGGAAACGGGAUAAAAUCCCGGGUAGUCUGGGGGGAAACCCUGCUCCCUUGAUGUUAGUUGGGCUCCGAGCCCAGCUAUGGCGGGAGAAAGGUUGUUAAGCAACCUGCUUGGAAAGUACGGCCCCAGGGUUGAAACUUAAAGGAAUUGGGGGGGGAUCACAGCGCCGGGGGGAGCUGCCGCUUUAAUUGGAUUCAACGCCGAAAACUCCCCGGGGGGGCGGUUUAUUGAAGCCAAGGUGGUGGCCUUGCCUGUUUUCCCAAGAGGGGUGGAGGGCCUUCUUCGUUCAAACGGGAAGCCUUCUUUAAAUCAGACACGAGCAGACCCUCUUUUUAGGUGCCCGGGAAGUCCGUUUUCGCCCCCUUUGGGGCCCGGUGGCGAAAAGUCAAAAAAGUUAGGUCACCGUAGUCACCUUCGCCCUGAAUCCUCGGGGUUAACCCGGGGCUAAAGGGGGGGACAUAUGGGCUCAAAACCCAAAUAAAAUUUACCUAAAACCUAUCCUAAUUCGGAUGUGGGAAUGAAAAUUUUCCCUCAUAAACUAAUUCCUAAAAAUUGGUGAAUUUUUUUUUGGGGGGGAAAAGGGCUCUGCUCUUUGGACAAACAAAAAAGCCCAAUUUCGUGUUAAUCACUGCGGGGCUUAGUUCCUUUUGGGGGGUUUUACUCUUUAGCUCUGGGGGGG